rnacentral:rRNA from 1 species
CCUACGGGAGGCUGCAGUGGGGAAUAUUGGACAAUGGGGGGAACCCUGAUCCAGCCAUGCCGCGUGUGUGAAGAAGGCCCUCGGGUUGUAAAGCACUUUCAGUGAGGAAGAACGCCUGGUGGUUAAUACCCAUCAGGAAAGACAUCACUCACAGAAGAAGCACCGGCUAACUCCGUGCCAGCAGCCGCGGUAAUACGGAGGGUGCGAGCGUUAAUCGGAAUUACUGGGCGUAAAGCGCGCGUAGGUGGCUUGAUAAGCCGGUUGUGAAAGCCCCGGGCUCAACCUGGGAACGGCAUCCGGAACUGUCAAGCUAGAGUGCAGGAGAGGAAGGUAGAAUUCCCGGUGUAGCGAUGAAAUGCGUAGAGAUCGGGAGGAAUACCAGUGGCGAAGGCGGCCUUCUGGACUGACACUGACACUGAGGUGCGAAAGCGUGGGUAGCAAACAGGAUUAGAUACCCUUGUAGUC